UACGAAGGGGGCUAGCGUUGCUCGGAAUUACUGGGCGUAAAGGGCGCGUAGGCGGGUCGUUAAGUUGGGGGUGAAAGCCCAGGGCUCAACCCUGGAAUUGCCUUCAAUACUGGCGACCUUGAGUAUGGCAGAGGUGUGUGGAACUCCGAGUGUAGAGGUGAAAUUCGUAGAUAUCAAGCAGAACACCUGCGGCGAAGGCGGCCUUCUGGACGAUGACUGACGCUGAGACGCGAAAGCGUGGGGAGCAAACAGG
rnacentral:rRNA from 1 species